UGCACUUCGGUGCGGCCAACCGCCGUGGAGCUGUCUCUUCACUGUUUCCUCCGUCGUGCUCUGGAAGCCGGGGAGGAACGCUGGAAUCGGUUGCCUGUGCGGUUGUACCCUCGUGCGGUAUUUUUCCGUCCGACUUGCGAUGCUUGCGACGUCGAUAGCUUCUGUCGACGGGCGCGGCCGAGUUGACGGCACGGUACGUGCGCGGUUUCGGGCGGAGGCCCUGUCGCCGCGGGCGUAUUUUGUCGGCUCUCACGGAUGCGGUGCCCAUCGAGGAUUCCGCGGGCCUAUGUUAUGUAUGGCUUGCGGAUUUCUUCGGGACGUCCGUUGCGCGUGGACUGUUGCUCCKCUCUCUCAUGAGAGGGAGUCGUUGCUGCKCUGCKCGCGCGAGAUGUUUGUCCCGUCGGACCGAACCGAAUGAGCGACUGUCGUGCGUCGCCUCGCGACGGUGCUCCCCUGUCCCCGUCUUUGGGCGCGGGCGCGGGGUGCGCCGGUCUCGGAGCGCGCCGGCUCUCGUUUAGGACGUGCUACCUGGUUGAUCCUGCC
rnacentral:misc_RNA from 1 species